rnacentral:rRNA from 1 species
AGAGUUUGAUCAUGGCUCAGAACGUACGCUGGCGGCACGCCUAACACAUGCAAGUCGAACGAAGUAGCAAUACUUAGUGGCAGACGGGUGAGUAACAUGUAGGUAUCUGCCCUUUGGCCUGGAAUAACACGAGGAAACUUGUGCUAAUACCGGAUAAGUCUUUACGGAGAAAGCUUUAUGCACCAUUGGAUGAGCCUGCACUUGAUUAGUUUGUUGGUGGGGUAAUGGCCUACCAAGACUGUGAUCAAUAGCUGAUUNGAGAGGAUGAUCAGCCACAUNGGNNCUGANACACGGCCCAAACUCCUACGGGAGGCAGCAGCUGGGGAAUCUUGCACAA